CCCUUAGAUGUUCUGGGCCGCACGCGUGCUACCCUGAGUGGAUCAGCGGGUCAGGUUGCGCGAAAGCGUUUCCUAAUCUUUAAAUCCGCUCGUGAUGGGGAUUGACGGUUGCAAUUUUCUGUCAUGAACGAGGAAUACCUUGUAAGCGCGGGUCAUCAUCCCGCGCUGAAUACGUCCCUGCCCUUUGUACACACCGCCCGUCGCUCCUACCGAUUGAGUGGUCCGGUGAGGCUUUGGGAUCUGAGCGGAAAGAGCGUUUCGCUGUGUCUGCUCGGAAAACUCAGUCGAACCUUAUCAUUUAGAGGAAGGAGAAGUCGUAACA
rnacentral:rRNA from 1 species